GGUCUUAUGGUCUAGUGGUAUGAUUCUCGCUUAGGGUUUACUCUGAGUAUUAAAUAUAAAUUUGCGAGAGGCCCCGCGUUCGAAUCGCGGUAAGACCC
rnacentral:tRNA from 2 species